rnacentral:rRNA from 1 species
UACGAAGGGAGCUAGCGUUGUUCGGAAUUACUGGGCGUAAAGGGCGCGUAGGCGGUCCGACAAGUCUGAUGUGAAAGCCCUGGGCUCAACCCGGGAAUUGCGUUGGAUACUGUCGGGCUUGAAUUCGGGAGAGGUGAGUGGAAUUCCCAGUGUAGAGGUGAAAUUCGUAGAGAUUGGGAAGAACACCCGUGGCGAAGGCGGCUCACUGGACCGACAUUGACGCUGAGGCGCGAAAGCGUGGGGAGCAAACAGG